UACGGAGGGUGCAAGCGUUAUCCGGAAUCACUGGGUUUAAAGGGUGCGUAGGCGGUCUGAUAAGUCAGUUGUGAAAUUCCUCGGCUUAACCGAGUGGACUGCGAUUGAUACUGUCAGACUUGAAUCAGGUUGAGGUAGGCGGAAUGUGACAUGUAGCGGUGAAAUGCUUAGAUAUGUCAUAGAACACCGAUUGCGAAGGCAGCUUGCUGGGCUUAGAUUGACGCUGAGGCACGAAAGCGUGGGGAGCAAACAGG
rnacentral:rRNA from 2 species